rnacentral:rRNA from 1 species
CCUGGUUGAUCCUGCCAGUAGUAUAUGCUUGUCUCAAGAUUAAGCCAUGCAUGUCUCAGUGCAAGCCACAUUAAGGUGAAACCGCGAAUGGCUCAUUACAUCAGUUAUGGUUCCUUAGAUCGUACCCACAUUACUUGGAUAACUGUGGUAAUUCUAGAGCUAAUACAUGCAAAUAGAGUUCCGACCAGAGAUGGAAGGAAUGCUUUUAUUAGAUCAAAACCAAUCGGUGGCGGGCUUGCCUUGCUCACCGUUUGACUUGGUGACUCUGAAUAACUUUGUGCUGAUCGCACGGUCUAGUACCGGCGACGCAUCUUUCAAAUGUCUGCCUUAUCAACUGUCGAUGGUAGUUUCUGCGACUACCAUGGUUGUUACGGGUAACGGGGAAUCAGGGUUCGAUUCCGGAGAGGGAGCCUGAGAAACGGCUACCACAUCCAAGGAAGGCAGCAGGCGCGCAAAUUACCCACUCCCGGCACGGGAGGUAGUGACGAAAAUAACGAUACGGGACUCAUCCGAGGCCCCGUAAUCGGAAUGAGUACACUUUAAAUCCUUUAACGAGGAUCUAUUAGAGGGCCAGUCUGGUGCCAGCAGCCGCGGUAAUUCCAGCUCUAAUAGCGUAUAUUAAAGUUGUUGCGGUUAAAAAGCUCGUAGUUGAAUCUGUGUCCCACACUGUCGGUUCACCGCUCGCGGUGUUCAACUGGCAUGUCUGUGGGACGUCCUACCGGUGGGCUUAGCCCGUCAAAAGGCGGCCCAACUCAAAAUCCUACCACGGUGCUCUUCACCGAGUGUCGAGGUGGGCCGGUACGUUUACUUUGAACAAAUUAGAGUGCUUAAAGCAGGCUCAUUCGCCUGAAUAUUUGUGUGCUGGAAUAAUGGAAUAGGACCUCGGUUCUAUUUUGUUGGUUUUCGGAAUUCCGAGGUAAUGAUUAAUAGGGACAACUGGGGGCAUUCGUAUUGCGGACGUUAGAGGUGAAAUUCUUGGAUCGUCGCAAGACGGACAGAAGCGAAAGCAUUUGCCAAAUGUGUUUUCAUCAAUCAAGAACGAAAGUUAGAGGUUCGAAGGCGAUCAGAUACCGCCCUA